GUACACUCCUACGGGAGGCAGCAGUGGGGAAUUUUGGACAAUGGGCGAAAGCCUGAUCCAGCAAUGCCGCGUGAGUGAAGAAGGCCUUCGGGUUGUAAAGCUCUUUUGUCAGGGAAGAAACGGUGAGAGCUAAUAUCUCUUGCUAAUGACGGUACCUGAAGAAUAAGCACCGGCUAACUACGUGCCAGCAGCCGCGGUAAUACGUAGGGUGCAAGCGUUAAUCGGAAUUACUGGGCGUAAAGCGUGCGCAGGCGGUUUUGUAAGUCUGAUGUGAAAUCCCCGGGCUCAACCUGGGAAUUGCAUUGGAGACUGCAAGGCUAGAAUCUGGCAGAGGGGGGUAGAAUUCCACGUGUAGCAGUGAAAUGCGUAGAUAUGUGGAGGAACACCGAUGGCGAAGGCAGCCCCCUGGGUCAAGAUUGACGCUCAUGCACGAAAGCGUGGGGAGCAAACAGGAUUAGAUACCCCAGUAGUCCCA
rnacentral:rRNA from 1 species